GUGUCAGCCGCCGCGGUAAUACGGAGGGUGCGAGCGUUGUUCGGAAUUAUUGGGCGUAAAGCGCGUGCAGGCGGUCGAGUAAGUCAGAUGUGAAAGCCUUUCGCUUAACGGAAGAAGUGCAUUUGAAACUGCUCGGCUGGAGUACGGGAGAGGAGAGUGGAAUUCCCGGUGUAGAGGUGAAAUUCGUAGAUAUCGGGAGGAACACCAGUGGCGAAGGCGGCGCUCUGGUCCGAUACUGACGCUGAGACGCGAAAGCGUGAGGAGCAAACAGGAUUAGAGACCCUGGUAGUCCACGCCGUAAACGAUGGGCACUAUGUGUAGGAGGUAUUGACCCCUUCUGUGCCGGAGCUAACGCAUUAAGUGCCCCGCCUGGGGAGUACGGCCGCAAGGCUAAAACUCAAAUGAAUUGACGGGG
rnacentral:rRNA from 1 species